UACAGAGGGGGCGAAGCGUUAUUCGGAAUUAUUGGGCGUAAAGGGCUCGUAGGCGGCCAACUAAGUCAGACGUGAAAUCCCUCAGCUUAACUGGGGAACUGCGUCUGAUACUGGAUGGCUUGGAUUCGGGAGAGGAAUGCGGAAUUCCAGGUGUAGCGGUGAAAUGCGUAGAUAUCUGGAGGAACACCGGUGGCGAAGGCGGCAUUCUGGACCGACAUUGACGCUGAGGAGCGAAAGCCAGGGGAGCAAAGCGGG
rnacentral:rRNA from 1 species